rnacentral:misc_RNA from 1 species
UGCAUUUGGAGAACCCAACUGUGGUGAGCUGCCUGGCUGACGCAAUCGUGGAACACGAGGCACUCUAGGUGAGCUAUUGAGCUCUUGAUGCAAAAGGAAGGCAAGCUCUUCAUCACUCAGAACAGCAGAUGGAUUUGUAGUUGCUGGAGGGUACAUGGCUGUUGCAUGGCGCUGAUUGACCUUAGAUGGAGGAUGAAAGUUCGUCUGGCUAG